UACGAGGGGGGCGAGCGUUGUUCGGAAUUAUUGGGCGUAAAGGGUGCGUAGGCGGGUCUUUAAGUCAGAGGUGAAAUCCUGGAGCUCAACUCCAGAACUGCCUUUGAUACUGAGGAUCUUGAGUUCGGGAGAGGUGAGUGGAACUGCGAGUGUAGAGGUGAAAUUCGUAGAUAUUCGCAAGAACACCAGUGGCGAAGGCGGCUCACUGGCCCGAUACUGACGCUGAGGUGCGAAAGCGUGGGGAGCAAACAGG
rnacentral:rRNA from 1 species